AUGGGGAGGCCGCGGGGGCUGUCCUGGGUGAUCCAGCUAAUGCACGUGUGGGUGGCCAGCGGGCAGCUCUCUGUGGAGCAGAGCACGGAAUGGCGGGGUGUCUCCGAGGGGCAGAAUGGCACCGUGACCUGCACUUACUCCAGCGCUAUCACCAGUUUACACUGGUACCGGCAGGCUCCCGGGGAGCGGCCCCUUUUCCUGCUGAUGCUGUUCGGCAAGGGGAGCGAGACACAAGAACCGAAUUUCACUGCGGAUCACGAUCCGGAGCAGAAGCGGAGCUCCCUGCACAUCCGCGGCUGCCAGCUGGGGGACACCGCCCGCUACCUCUGCGCCGUGGAGACACCGUGA